rnacentral:rRNA from 1 species
CGAAGCCGCGAGGUGGAGCGAAUCCCAAAAAAGACCGGUCUAAGUUCGGAUUGCAGGCUGCAACCCGCCUGCAUGAAGUCGGAAUCGCUAGUAAUCGCGAGUCAGCAUAUCGCGGUGAAUACGUUCCCGGGUCUUGUACACACCGCCCGUCACACCAUGGGAGUUGGCAACACCCGAAGCCGAUGAGCUAACCCGCAAGGGAGGCAGUUGUCUAAGGUGGGGUUGAUAACUGGGGUGAAGUCGUAACAAGGUAAC